rnacentral:misc_RNA from 1 species
GCACCAGUAGCAAUUCCUGGCCUGUACUAAGACAGAAAUUAACAUGGACUCACAAAUUGGAAAUUAUAAAAGGAAAAAAAGAAUUACCAAAUGUAUAAAACCAACAACAAUUUUCAUCGGUGUUAAACUUCAUAGAUCUUAAAACGAUAAGCUAGAAAUAAUCCUAACAAAUCAAAUUCCCACAACUAGAGUUACUCUUUAUUAUUAUCUGAAAGGAAGCCGUUUUCCCCUCUUU